rnacentral:lncRNA from 1 species
ACCAGCACCUGGGGCGCCUCUGCCCCGAGCCCCCGCUCUUCUGCUGCAGGUGGGCCAGACCCCACGCCGACAUGCGUGUGCACCCCCCCGACACGCGUGUGCACCCCCCAACACGCGUGUGCCCCCUCCCCGGCCCCGCAGGCGGCUGCUGCUGCGCUUCCAGGACACGCUGGGCCACGAGGACGCCACGCGCCUGCUGGAGCUGGGCGCCCUGGUGAGCAUGGGACCCGCGCGGUGCGUUGGGCCGCGGUGUGCAACAGCACACGCGUGUUGGGGUGCCACCGGGACCAGCACACGCGUGCUGGGCCACAGCGCGCACCGGCACGUGCGUGUCGGGCCGUGUUGCAUGCUGCCACAUGCGUGCUGGGCUGCGGCGUGCACCGGCACACGCGUGUCGGACCGUGUUGCAUGCUGGCACCCGUGUGCUGGACCGUGACGCGUGCUGACACCCAUGUGUUGGGCCGUGCUGCACGCUGGCACACACAUGUUGGGCCAUGUUGCCUGCCAGCACACGCAUGUUGGACCAUGUUGCGUGCUGGCACAUACGUGUCAGGCUGCGUUGCAUGKUGGCACCCGCGUGUCGGGCCGUGUUGCAUUGUGACCCCCUGUGUGUCAGGCUGUGUUGCACGCCAACACCCAUAUGUCGGUCCGUGUCGCACCCUGGCACCCACGUGUCAGGCCACGUUGCACACCAGCACACACGUGUUGGGCUGUGCUGCACCCCAGCACCCGUGUGUCAGGCCAUGUCGCACCCCAGCACCCACACGUCGGGCCACAUUGCACCCCGGCACCCACGUGUCAGGCCGUGUCACACACCAGCACACGUGUGUUGGGCCAUGUUGCACCCCAGCACACGCGUGUCAGGCUGUGCUGCACCCCAGCACCCAUGUGUCAGGCCACGUCGCACCCCGGCACCCGUGUGUCAGGCCAUGUCACACACCAGCACACAUGUGUUGGGCCACGUUGCACCCUGGCACCCACGUGUCAAGCCAUGUCACACACCAGCACCCGUGUGUUGGGCCACAUUGCACCCCAGCACAUGUGUGUCAGGCCGUGUCACACACCAGCACCCAUGUGCUGGGCUGUGUCACACCAGCACAUGUGUGUCAGGCCAUGUUUCACCCCAGCACAUGCGUGUCAGGCUGUGUUGCACCCCAGCACCCACACGUCGGGCCACAUUGCACCCCGGCACCCGCGUGUCAGGCCAUGUCAUGUGCCAGCACACAUGUCAGGCUGCAUUGCACCUUGGCACACGUGUGUCAGGCCAUGUCACACACCAGCACCCGUGUGUCGGGCCACAUUGCACCCUGUCACCCAUGUGUCAGGCCAU